UACGAAGGGGGCUAGCGUUGCUCGGAAUCACUGGGCGUAAAGCGCACGUAGGCGGACUCUUAAGUCGGUGGUGAAAUCCUGGAGCUCAACUCCAGAACUGCCUUCGAUACUGAGAGUCUCGAGUCCGAGAGAGGUGAGUGGAACUGCGAGUGUAGAGGUGAAAUUCGUAGAUAUUCGCAAGAACACCAGUGGCGAAGGCGGCUCACUAGCUCGGUACUGACGCUGAGGUGCGAAAGCGUGGGGAGCAAACAGG
rnacentral:rRNA from 1 species